GACGAACGCUGGCGGCGUGCCUAAUACAUGCCAGUAGAACGCUGAAGCGAGGAGCUUGCUCUUCUUGGCUGAGUUGCGAACGGGUGAGUAACGCGUAGGUAACCUGCCUUGUAGCGGGGGAUAACUAUUGGAAACGAUAGCUAAUACCGCAUAACAAUGGAUGACACAUGUCAUUUAUUUGAAAGGGGCAAUUGCUCCACUACAAGAUGGACCUGCGUUGUAUUAGCUAGUAGGUGAGGUAAUGGCUCACCUAGGCGACGAUACAUAGCCGACCUGAGAGGGUGAUCGGCCACACUGGGACUGAGACACGGCCCAGACUCCUACGGGAGGCAGCAGUAGGGAAUCGUCGGCGAUGGGGGCAACCCUGACCGAGCGACGCCGCGUGAGUGAAGAAGGGUUUCGGAUCGUAAAGAUCUGUUGUAAGUCAAGAACGGGUGUGAGAGUGGAAAGUUCACACUGUGACGGUAGCUUACCAGAAAGGGACGGCUAACUACGUG
rnacentral:rRNA from 1 species